UUUUUAGAGUUUGAUCCUGGCUCAGAACGAACGCUGGCGGCAGGCUUAACACAUGCAAGUCGAGCGAGGACUUCGGUCCUAGCGGCGGACGGGUGAGUAACGCGUGGGAACGUGCCCUUCUGUGCGGAAUAGCCUCGGGAAACUGAGAGUAAUACCGCAUACGCCCUUCGGGGGAAAGAUUUAUCGCAGAAGGAUCGGCCCGCGUCUGAUUAGGUAGUUGGUGGGGUAAUGGCCUACCAAGCCUACGAUCAGUAGCUGGUUUGAGAGGAUGAUCAGCCACACUGGGACUGAGACACGGCCCAGACUCCUACGGGAGGCAGCAGUGAGGAAUCUUGGACAAUGGGGGCAACCCUGAUCCAGCCAUGCCGCGUGAACGAUGAAGGCCUUAGGGUUGUAAAGUUCUUUCAGUCGUGAAGAUAAUGACGGAGCGACAGAAGAGCCCCG
rnacentral:rRNA from 1 species